UACCCUUUCCACAUUUAUACGAAAAUCAAUUCGUUUUAUUUUUCUCAUCUGACCAUUCGUACUUUAAAUCUUCCAAGAGAAAUAUUGAUACAAAUGAGUGGGAGAUUGGGUCUUCUCAACUUUGCCUCACUUCCAUGGAAGCCACAAGCAAGGUCAGCGGCUUUAGACUCAAGAAAGAGACUGUGCUGGGUUAUUGUUGGCAAGAUUGAUCGUCGGAGCUUACGACCAUGCCGCUUUUAGGCUCUUGAGGUUUAAAGGCGAUUGUCAAAGGCGUUUGGGGGCCACCGUUUUCCCCCACAACAUCGGACUCGGAGCGACUAGGUUUUUUAAAUCCUGAUUACCAUUCUCUUUUACUUUCAGCAGAGCGAGAUUUGCAUGAACUGAACCUGGAAAUUAAGGUCUGAGAACCUUUACAAUCCGAUAAUUCAGUAUUGUUUAUAGUUUAAGCUCUCUAAUUGUAAUGGUUUAGGCUGAAUUUUACUGUUUUUGUUUUUAUGAUGAUCCUUGCCUUGUAUAGGACAUUCAAACGAACCUACUAACCUGAUUUGGAUCCACCUUGUAAUCCUAACUUUGCUUCAAUUAGCUUCUGAUUACAGGGUCGUAGGAGUAUUGAAGUGGCUUUGAUUAGAAUCUGUUUUGGUCUAAGAUCGGUUCUUCUAUUGGUGCCGUGCUGCGUGUAGAUUGCUAUUAAUGUGAUAACACUGUGGCUGUGAUAACACUGUGUGUGGUUUGGUCAGAAGAAUCGUAACCACAACUGAACUUGGAGUAAGGGCGACUGGAGUUCACUGGGCGUUUGCUUCCUAUGAGGCUAGAUCCCAGAUGGGAACGAAGCUAUGACAGUUAUGGUUAAGAUGGUGGACUUGUCUGUGAGGUCAGCUCGCUUGUUUCGGGAGUAAAAGGCGUCCCACCCGAAGAACACCUAAUCGGUUACCAUUUUGUUGCAGAAACAAUGUGAUCGCAUGUGCAAAACACUUUGUUCGAAAUGAUGGAACCAAGAAGUAGACCUACCACCAGUAGAGUCAGCCGGAGAAGAUAAUGAUGCUUUGAGGGGAAGAUAUAUCACAAGAUUUACUGCUGUUAUCGUAUAUCAUAGUUGUAUGAUUGUUGACCGUAUCGACUUUCUCGCCUUCAUUUUCUCCAUCUCAAGUCUUAGAGCUGGAUCCAUCCGUCUUCGUCCAAUUUUUAAUAUCUUUUGAUUUUUGAUCCUUAACGUAUAAGUUUUUGUUUACAAUCUUUAUCUUCUCACGCUAGGUGCUUCUUCCACCAGCCGAUUUGCGGUGUCCACUACUGCCACUCCUUGGUAUGUAUAUGGUUUUCCCAAUAUUCAUUAGGCUGAAAAAGUAAAGUUAUGUACCUGGCAAGGCAUCUGAGGUGAUUGGAGAAACUAUCAACGUUUUCUUGACUUGGAUUCUUUGCUUUAGAUUUGGAAAUUAGAUGUUUGGAUGUUCUGACCUGGUUUACGAUUGUGUGAUACAUAUUUAUCUUACUGUAAAUCAUAUAAAACCUUAGCUGCCACUGUUGAUGCUAUUUGUGAGGAGAUAGCAAAUGAUCGUUUCCAAUCUUAUUUCAUAAAUUACGUAUGUUGCA